UCUCCCCUCCUCGAGCUAUAGUGACCUCCGGAGAAAGCUGAGCCAUCAACUGGGAAUCCGCGUGGGGCUCGGAGUCUACCAGAACUCCUGUCUCCCGUACAGAGGGGAAGUGCCAUCGAGAGAGGCCUGACACUCUUGUAGCUGGAUGCUGGUGCUAUUUGUGCUUCUCAUCCCAGCCAGGCAGACUUGACCUUCACUCCUGACUUCCGCGAUCCCUUCACAACUGCAAGUCAUUUUCCUACAAAACUGGAGUUUGCCUACUCUGCGCCUUUGAGAGUUUUGGAACAGCAUGCAAGUUCACGUCGCCAUCACGUUAUCCUGCUGACUGUCUCAUGUGACGAGACCGACACCCGGGUCGCUUGCUUCUGCCCUUGUUCUUCUGCCUGUUGUCCCCUCUGCAGCCAUUGAGCACACGCACGUGUUGUCACGCAAAAGCCGUUUUGCUGUUUUUAUUUGUCUUGUGAAUGUUGUCAUUUGCUUCGUGCGUAUCACGAAUUAGUGUCGUGUACUGCUCAGUGAUCUAAAACUGUCACUAAUUAGAAAUUUGCGUUGAGUCUGGGUAGGAAUGGCACGCAAGCAGAAAAGCAAGAGUGCAGAUGCUAGAAGAGCAAAGAGGGCAAGAAAAGUGAUGUUUGCAGCAAACGAAAUGAAAGUUCUCGAAAUGCUCAAUAAUGGUGAAACCAAGACCUCUCUAGGGCCCUUUUUUUCCUUUUUUUGGCAUUAAUAAAUCUAUGAUUUGCACAAUAAAAAUAAGAAGCUAUUAGGGCCAAUCAAUCGAGGGGCACACUAGAAUCAUCAAGAACAUCAUACAUAACGUGAAAUGCCAACACAGAGACCAUGGAAAAGAUGUGCACGUGUGGCUUCUACCCCAGGGAGAGCUGCAUAGGCCUCCUCCUGUAUGCGUAAUCUGCCAGCGAGCAUCACAAAAACGCAAGUUUCAAUUUUCAUCUGGACAAAAGGUUACAACAUUCACUGUGAGUAAAGGGUGGUUGGCUAGGUUUAAGAAAUGCUGUGGUCUGUCUGAAAAGAAAUGGUCGGCAGAGGAAGCAGAUCGUGAGGCUGCUGCUGGCUACCCUGAAUACCUGAUGGAAUGGAUUGAGGGAAAUGGCUAUUUCUUCAGUGCUGACGAAAUGGCCCUGUUCAGGAAGUACAUGCCUACUUGCACACCUUUUGCAGAGGAUGAGAAAAAGACCAGAGGCUUCAAGCCUGGAAAGGACAAGCUCAAAGUUCUGUUUUGUUCCAACGGUUCUGGUGAUUGAUUAAACCCACAUUGCUUCACAGAUUGCGAAGUCCUUGCCCUCUUAAAAGAGAAUGCUAGAAACACUUUUCUGUUUACAUGAAGGGAAACCAUAAAGUAGGGAUCACUGAGAAACUCUUUUUGGGCCAGUUUUUGAAGUCUUCAUUCCUGAGGUUACACAAUAUUUAAACCAAAAAAAACAAAAACAAAACCAAAAAACCUUGAAUUCAAAGUUGCUGCUUUUGGACACCUGCUCCUACUGCCAAAAGUGCAAUAGUAAAUGCUGAUCCUUGUGUUCCAGUCACCUCCACCCCCCAGUACAACUCCACUCCUUCAACCCAAGCAUCUGGGAGUGCUGAAAAUUGUUUGUGACGGAAGAAGAGGCUGGACCUUCGGGCCAUGUCAUUCAAACCCAUUCUACAAACAGCAGGCAGAAAGGCCACACACAGAUAGUCGAACCUUGGGGUUCAGACUCCAACAGCUCUGAUGAUGUGGUGAUCCAAGUGCUGGAGGAUGAAAGUAGAACGGAAGGUUGAGCUUACUUCUCUCCAGACAAAACCCAAUUGUCUUGAUUCUUUCCCUAUCACUACUCUGAUGACCAGCAUUUUCGCUGACGCAUGAUUGUCCUGACUUUGAGAUCAGAGAGAAACAGAAAUCGGUUGCCCAGUCAUCACUAUUACUGAUGUGAAAUUGGUAAAAUACCAACAAGAUUCACUUUACUUAGUGUCUUAUUUCAGCGAACAGACCAAGUGUCUGGGCUGUCAUAAUACCCACUUCCCUGCUGCAAUUCCCCCCCGAGGCUCAUAAGUCCCCCCAACACAGAUUCCUCUACAGUGAGGGUUCCAGGAAGUCAACUCCAAUACGUAGGGAGGGGGGACACUCUAUGUGGUUGGACAACUUGAUUUUGUACUCUUGAUACUGACAUUUAUUUUAAUCUUACUUAAGCCUAACUUGCCAUCUUGACAGAAAGAAUCUAGACUCAUUCGUUUGGUAUCAGUUAAUUUGUUUUCCAGCAGUUGUAGAUGUAGCCAUUGGUCAGUCUUUAAGGCAGUGCGUUUAAAAUGCAUUCUGGGAUUUACUCUUGGUAUCUACUCAAGGAGUAAAACCUGCCAGAGUUCAUCUCCAUUGACCCUCUCUGUUGUCCUAUCUGGUCUUCCCAGUGAUUUGCAUAUUUAAAUACCCUCUGGGAAAGGGAUAUCGAAACUUCUUCCCGAAAGGUGGUAGAAAUCCAAUGAUCCACACCACCCUCGGCGGCUGAAGGUUUGAAUGAUAGCUUACCUAUAUCUGAGUUUGAAGUGGUCAGAGGAAAGGGAAGAAAAUCCAAGAGUUAAAAGGGCUUGCUUGCAUAGUUACAGUUGAGGUAUCAGGCAUUCCCCAACAGGUUCAAAAGAGGCAGAUGAGAGUUGAAAACUCAUUUUCAGGUGCUGUGGGUCUAGCGGCCCGCCACAGUGCCAGAGGAGCUCACUCCCUUGCCUUACAGUAGUUCUCGACACAUCAAAAUCACGUUGGGGGGCUUUGAAAAAUACAGAUUUCUGGGACCUGCCCCUGGAUGUACUGAAUCAGGGAUGGGGUCAGCACCUGUAUAUUUUUAAAGCUCCUCAACCGAUGUUUUAUACAGCCAUGGUUGUUAACUGCUGCUCUCAGUCUGAACAGAAUUCUAGUAGAAAAUGUAAUACAAAUGGUAGUGGGCCCAGCAGCCAGGAAACCCUGAUCCUAAAUUUCGGCUCCACCACUGACUCAAUGGAUGGUCUUAUUCAAAUCACCCUACUUUUCCCUUAUCUGUCAAGUGAAAGAGUAGGACCACUUGGUCUCUAAGGUCCCUCUCUCUCUGCACCUCAAAAGAAAGGUGCAUCAACCUCAUUGGUUGAUUGUGAGUGUGCCUGAGCCCUUUCAUAGAGACCAAGGUAAGUAGCAGCAUUACCGUACUGUGUUCCUGUUAUUUUAAAAAUCGUGCUUCUGGUUCAAGUUUUACCAUGUUUUAGUGCCUUCCAGAAAAGAGAGUUAGGCAUAGAAAAACGAGAAACAAACAUGGCAUCAACUUCCUGAAAAGAAAGACAGAGAGGACCUCCUAUGAGUUUCUUAUUUGUGUUAAUGGCGAUUUUUCUUCUUGAGUUACAGGGCUUGGGGAAAAUAAUAAUGCAUAGAUAUUAUGAGUAAAACAUCUUAACAUGUUGUAUCUAUUGUUUUCAUAAACCAAAGCAGAGAACUCUGUAUGGUUACUGUUUCAAGGUUCCAUGGAUAAUUGGUACAUUCUGAAUCAUAUCUAGAGGUAAAUAUUUUUAAGUCGAUGACUAUUUUACCAGUAGAAUCAGUGGUUCCAUAUGCCUUUAGAGAAUGUGGUUUCCUGAGAAUUUUACCAUUUCUUGAGAUUACUGCCUUGCCAUUUUAUUUCUCUUAAAUUUGACCAGAAUUAGAGAAAUCAAAUUUAAGUUGAACAGCAUCAACCAGGAACCAUUACUAUAAAAAUAAUGCAAUGGGAAACCAACUAUUAUAUCAGUUUAGUUGUCACAGAAAUGCCUAGACUUUGGCUUGAGAGGUGGAAAUGUUUGUCUAGGGACCAGGCCAUUUGAAAUAAAAUAAUUGAGAUAAAUCUAAUUCUUGUUUAAUGCAAUAUCCAGUUAACAUAAUCUAAGAAGUCUCAUUGAUGACGAUAAAAUCUAGAACAUUUCAAUAUGGCUGAGUUUAACAAGUCAGCAGAACUUACAGGUGGAUUUGAAAGUUGGUAUAGACCUAAGCGGUAGAAAUAGAAAUGAAUGACAACAUUGCCAUGCAAAUGGUGUUUCUUUUUUCUUUUUAAAAUUAAGAAUAGUCCCCAAAAUUGACAAGCUGAAAUUUCUUUUAGAAGAUUGUAUGCACAGUUUGGGUGAAAAGAAUCUUCCUCUUGUCAAAUGGUUCAGGUAAAUUGUUGUGUUCACUAUUAUGGAAUGCAUGGAGUUUUCCUUCUUUACAGACAUAUUUAACCACUGGAAAAAGAAAAGAAAAGGAAAAGGAGGUGGGGAGAAAGGGCAGCCCAGGUUGAUGAAACUUGUAGAGAAUAUUAGAAAACUGGUAUUACAUUUAAAAAGAGCCCUUUGUUUGUUUAAAAUCUUUUCCGUUCAAAAUGCAGACAAGGCUCUUUAAACCACACAUUUGGAUUACACAGCUGCCACCACCUGAAUGCUAAUAAAGGGCUUCUACGGCGUGUAUAGCCAAAGAGUGUGCGAACCACGUUUGUGCUAUGGAAUAUAUUGAUCACUGAACUUUACAUAGAGUUACCUUUUAAUGGUCUUCAUGUCAAUGUGCUAUGGUUGUUUAUCUAAGAAUUCAGAAAUAAAUUGUGGCAUGAACAGAGUGUAUAUGUUCUUGGGAGCCAUAAAAUCACAUAGAAAAUAGAUGAAAGCCCAGAUAGGACAUUUCACUAGCGCGAACAACAAACGUUGGGAAAUUAAAUAGGAAUCUAGUGUGCUUGAGACAUUGCACUUCAUCCCGUGAUAUAAUUAACCCAUUUUUGCAAACACCUAGAAUUAACUCCUGAUUUCCUGGCAGGGGCAUGAGGAAGGCCGUGAUGAGAAGAACCCGGGACAUAGAUAAAUGAGGGCUUUGCCAUUGGCUUCUUGUCUGCGUGGGGUGGGGACUCCCUCUCUUUGCGUGAGUGGCGCUUGGUCCCCGCAGGAUCACCCUUGAGCUAUUGGGGUGCGGCAAGUCAGCGUGGGGCCUAGGUUUGGGGAUCAGAGUUGCUUUCAAUCCUGUCCCUGCCAAUUACCAGCUAUGUGACUGUGGGCAUGCUUUUUAACCAUUUCAGACUUGAGUUUCUAAUCUGUAAAACGGGGUCGAAAAGUACCUGCCAUUAUAGGAUUGCUAUGAGAUUAUAUGAAAUGCCUAGUACAGUGCCUGGCACAUAGUAAGCGCUCAAUAAAUUGUUGCUAUUAUUAUUAUAACAAGCAUUAUAGAACUAAAGAUGAUAGUUUACUCAUGUUUUUGCAGUAUUUUAAUAUUUUGAUAUUUUAUCUAAUUUCCUUCAAAAAAUGGUAUGCAUGAUGGUUUUAAGAAGAGAGAAGGAAUAACAAUUGAUUUUCAAUAUUUUUCUUUGCUUGUGAAAGAUACCUGAAAUGAUAAUUCCUUUGCCCCUGUGGUGCUCCUUGACUGCAGCUCCAUUUAUAUGUGCUUUAUUUAUCAAGUGGUUAUCCUUGCAUGAUAUUUAUUCAUAUACGGAUGACUUUUAAUGACUUUUUUCACAUGGAUAUAUUCCUAUUCUCUAGAAAAUAAUCCAUCCACUUGGUUCCACUUUUAAGAUAAUUAAGUCACUCUGUGUUAAUAGGAGCUAACAAUAAAGCUCUAUAGGACCUACUUUGCUUAAACCACCAAAUUAUUAGCUCAGCUGCCUUUGAGAGAAAAUUGGAUAUCUAAGUACUCUUACGAGGGGAGGACAAUUCCGCAUAACUCGCUUCUGAACAUCUUUGCUAUUUCAUGCAUUCUGUGAUGGCAUUCAAGAAACUUAGCAUCAUGCUUUCCAGAAUGCUGAGUAUUCAUCAUCAUCCAACUGCUGGAACUGUUGGGUAACAGAGCUGUCACUGCCUCAGUUCAAGCCCCCGUUACCACUUAGCCUGGAUGAUUAUAGUGGCUUCAUAACUCACAUCCCAACUCUUUUAGUGUUUGAACCUGGGAGUCUUUGAUGUUCUAGUAUAUUAUGUCUGGUAGUCUUCGGCACUUGGCUGCUUGACACAUUUUCCUCGUGUACAAUUCGGAUGCUGGUACUUCCUUGUUCAAAAAUCUUCAGUGGCUGCCCAUUGUCUAUGUAUUCCACUACUUAACCUUUAAAUCAUGACCCAGGCCCAGCGUAUUGUAACCAGUUGUGCCGGCCGGUGUUCUCUUUCCUACAGUGUAUGUGAUCACCCGUGUCUUCCUCAGCCCUGCCUAAGUACUAAAGAUCUUCAGCUUACAACUCAACCCUGAUCUCUUACAUUUGUUGCUUAAGCUCUGGUGGGUAAGAGCAGAAAUUAGACUUAUUACCUGAAGCCAGAGUGCCUGAGAUGAGACUUCAAAGCUGUAGCCUCCUUCCUCUUCUCCCCCAUUAUUACGAACACCUAGACUUGGCUCUUGAUUAAUUGGCGGUGGCAUGAUGAGUGUCCUAAUGAGAAGAAUAUGGGACACAGAGUGAAGGCUUUGCCACUUAUUCUCUGCCCUGGGCUGGGGACUCCCUCUCUUUGGAUGAAUGGUGCUUAGUCCUGGAAGGAUAAGCCCAGUGUGUAAAAGUGACUUUCUUCUUUAAUAUUCUUUUUAAGCUUCCAGCCUAUCGAGUUAGGGUAUCCUCACUGAACCCCAGCCCCGUUUGCCUGGGGUCCUGAAUGCUACCCAUUCAAUUUUGGCUCUAAAUACAAAUAUUCUUGUUGUGCCCCUGAAAUAAUUAAGUGGAGAUCUAAACUCCAUUCUCAGGUUCUUGCUAGCCACCUAUCCUGAGCAUCAUCACAUACAUGGUAUCUUUAUUUACCACCGGGCUUCAAAUUGCUCUACACACUCUUUUGCAUGUGAAUGCUAGCCUGGGAUGUACUUAAUAUACUUACUAUACCCUAGAUUUGGCAUCUAGAGCAGGAACUGGCAAACUAAGGCCUUUGGGUCAAAACUGGCCCAACUUUUUUUAAAUAAAAGUUUUAUUGCAACACAACCAUGCCCACUCAUUUAUGUAUCACCCAUGGCUACAUUAUAAUGAUAGAAUUGAGUAGUUGCAAUAGAAACCAUAUGGCCCACAAAAUCUUAACUAUUUACAGAAAACAUUGGCUGGCUGACUCCUAUUUAAAGUCAAGUAGUUCUCCAAGCUGGAUGUUCCUUCAUCUUUGAUAAUUCCUCAUUCACAUCCUGUCAAACAAUACAAGGCUAGUUCACUGGGACUAUGAAAAUAGGUUCCAACCCAUUCAAACUACUUGCUUUCGCUUGAAUUUCCCUGCUUCCUCUUUGUCAUCUUCCUAAGAUGUCCUUUCUCUGUGUUUUGCUUUUUAGUGAGAGAUGCCAUAGUUAUAAAGACUACUAGAGUAGCCUUAUCAUAUGUCUUUAAAUGUCACAUCAGGUCCAUAUGUGAAAGUCUUUCAACAUUGCCAAUAUCUUUCAACACGACCUUCUAGUAUCUCUAAGAUUAGGCCUUUUGAUUCGUUAGUAUCUCUAACAUCAGGUUUUCUGAGCUUCACAGUUUCCAACAUCUCCAAUUGCCAGAUCUUCUAAAUGUUACAAUGCCCACAUCUUCUACUCUCUGGCCUGAAGCAUCUCCAAUGCCAGGGUUUUCUAAUCUCCUCAUCAUCGGGGACAUUAAAACUCUAGGUCUUCUACUUUCUCCAAUAAUCAAUCAUCAAGUUCCAGGUCUUGUCUCAGGGUCCAGAGUUCUAAGUUCCAAUUUCUCUAUGUUCCCAAUCCUCCAGUGUCCCAUAUAUGCACGUCUUCUAGAGUCCACGUUUUAUUGUGUCUUAGUGCAGCUCUUCUAAUAUCUUCUAGCUCUCACGUCAUUUGGUUCCUACAAUUUUUAGUGUCUCCUAAAUUCUGAUUUUACAAUGUCUCAUUAUCACCAGUUCUUCCACUGCCCAAGUCUUUCAAUAUCUCUUAAGAACCAGAUUUUCCAAUGGUUAGGUGUUCCAACAUCCCCAAUGUCUGGAUGACUUGGUCUUUUGACAUCCUGACAUCUUACUGUCCAAGUCUCUUAAUGUCUAGGGCUGCCAACGUCCUUGACUUCCAGCAUCAUGAAAAUUAUAGCUUCCAAAUUCUGUGUCUUAACAUGAAUGUGUCAAUAUCCAGGUUUCCCAAAUAUCUCCCAAUACCCAGGGCUUCCAAUUUUAGGAUUUCUAAAUGUCUAGAUCUUCCAUUGUCUAUAUCUUCCAAUGUUUAGGGCUUCCAAGGUGCAGGACUUACAAUGCCUCUAAGUAUUCAGGGCUUCCAGUACCCAUGAAUUCCAAACAUUUAGGGUCUCCAAAGUCUCCAACGUCCAGAAUAACCAAUGUCCACAAAAUCUAAGGUUUCCAAUGUCUCCAAUAUCCUGUGCUUCCAAUGUCUCCAAUGUCCAGGGUUUCCAAUGGUGCCAGUGUCAAGGUCUUCCAACAACUCCAGGUCUUCCAGCAACUACAAGUCUUCCAACAAAUUCUAAGUCUUCCAACAACAUCAAGGUCUUCCAGAUAAUCCACGUCUUCCAGUAAUUAUAGGUCUUCCAUAAAACCCAUAUCUUCCAGGAAAAUCCACGUCUUCCAGGAAAAUCCACGUCUUCCAGAAAAUCCAUGUCUUCCAAUGGUUUCAAGGUCUUCCAGACAAUCCACAUCUUCCAGCAAUUUCAAGGUCUUCCAGCCAAUCCAUGUCUUCCAGAAAAAAACUGUCUUCCAGCAAAUCCAAGUCUUCCAAUCAAUCCAAGUCUUCCAGCUGACUUAUGUCUUCCGGAAAAUCCAGGUCUUCCAGUCAAUUGAUGUCUUCCAGAAAGAAAUCCAGGUCUUCCACUCACUCCAUGUCUUCCAGAAAAAUACACGUCUUCCACCAAAUCCGUAUCUUCCAGAAAAGUCCAGAUCUUCCAACCAAUCCAUGUCUUCCACCAAAUCCAGUCUUCUAGUCAGUCGACGUCUUCCAAACAAAAUUGAUGUCUUCCACUAAAUAAAUCCAGGUCUUCUAAUAAAGCCACGUCUUCCAGAAAAUUGAUGUCUUCCACUAGAUUCAGGUCUUCCAACAAAUAUAUGUCUUCCUAGAGAUCCACGUCUUCCGGAAAAAAAAUCCAUGUCUUCCGGGAACCUCCAGGUCUUCCAGCAAAUCUACGUCUUCCAAACAAUCCAGGUCUUCCAGACAACUCGGGUCUUCCUGAAAAUCCACGUCUUCCAGGAAAUCCACGUCUUCCAGUGACCUCCAGGUCUUCCAGAAAAUCGACGUCUUCCAGAAAAUCGAUGUCUUCCAGCAAAUCCACGUCUUCCAACAAGGCUGUGUCUUCCAUCAAAUUCAUGUCUUCCGGCCUACCCACGUCUUCCAACAAAUUUGUCUUCCAGAAAAUCCACGUCUUCCAACUAAACCGCGUCUUCCAGAAAAUCCACGUCUUCCAACUAAACCACGUCUUCCAGAAAAUCCACGUCUUCCUGCAUCUCCAGGGCUUCCAGCAUCUCCAGGGCUUCCAGCAUCUGCUCGUCUUCCAGCAUCUCUGUGUCUUCCAGCAACUCCACGUCUUCCAGCAUCUCCACGUCUUCCGACAACUACCCAGUCUUCCAACAGGGGGCUCAAUAUCCACAUCUUCCAACGUCUCCAGAGUGCCGGUCUUCUAACAUUGGGUCUUCAGUGUCUACAAUAUCCAGGUAUUCUAACAUGUUCCAUAGUCCAGGUCUUCUGACCUUUCCCCAGGUCCAGACCUUUUUAAAAUUAGUCUUCCCAAGUCCAAGCCUUUCUGUGUUCAGAGCCUUCUACAGACAGGCCCUCCAACACAAGUAAUCCUGCCUACAGUAGAUUUAGCCUCAAAAAAUUUAAUAAGGUGUUCCUUCUUACAGACCAGAUUUUAUGGAUUAACUGUAUUGCAGCUUAAUAGUGUUUUCUGCUAUUAGUAAAUAUGUAUUUAUGCUUUACAACUUUUUAAGAUAGUGUUCAUAAAACAGCCUCUGGAAAAUAAACACACUGAUGGGAUUGCUGUGAGAAAUUUUGCUACUUCCCUAAUGCUUAUAGGUUUCAUAUAGUCAACUAUGUUUAGGUGCAAGUGGAAUUCUUAUUUAAUGAAAAAAAAAUCCUGUUUAGAGACUGUUUAUUAGAGUUAACAUACAGUGUAUUUAUCCAUUUCUUUUAACACCAGUUUUUGUUUGGUCUUAUGUGACCAAUUAAUAAUAAUAGUAAUCAUAAUAAUAACACUUGACAUAGCAUUUGCUACGUCCAGGCACUGUUCUCAGGUUGUAACAUGCAUCAACUCAUUUAAUCUUCCCAAGAACCCAUUGAGGUAGGUGCUGUCAUCUCCGUUUUACAGAUGAGGAAACUGACACACAGAAGUGAAGUAACUUGUCCAAAGGACACAACUAAUAAGUGAAAUGAGAAAGCUGGGAUUUGGACUCAGCUAGCUUGUGACCAGAGCCCAUGAUCCUAACCGCUAUGCUAUAAUAUCUGCUGCUGAAAGUCAAGAUGAGAAUUAUGGGAUCCAAAGCGUGAUUGCUCCCGUUUUAUGUGCAGACUAUUAUCAGAUCUUAUGUCCAAAUGGUCUCACUUUUUCCUGUCACUAUCAGAACAUAUUUGUAUCCACAGAUCUCAUUCCUCAACUAUUUACUAUUAUUCCCUUGCCCAUGUGUAUGGAACUAGGCACAAACACUUCCUGAUACCGUUUUCAAUUUGGGCAGAAAUAAGGAAGCACUGAGUUCAAGAGCCGUUUGCUUUAGAAUCAUAUUCAUAAGUCCAUGCUUUGAAUCCUGGUGCUUGGAAUUUGGCCCUCCCAUCAACUUCAAUCUCUUACCACUGACCAUUCUCCAGUUUUACCUUACUAUAUAGACCACUUAUCAUUAGUUUGUUUCUGACCUCCAGGAUUUACCUGUUUCUUCACAUAUCAUUGACCUCCUGGAUUCCUGACUACUGUCUUGUGUUCAACUAAUGGUAACUACAACUCCCUAACCCCCAGCAUGCUGACCUAGAGAACUAACUACUUGGUUCUCCACGUCUCACCUCCUAACAGGUGCUUCCAGCAAUAUUGCUACCAUGCCUCUGGGUGGCAUGACAAGCAUUAAAGCUACAUAAUGAAAUUAUGGUUGGUCAAGGGAUCCCUAAAGAUCUAGAAUUGUCUACAUGGUAAUACAAAUGAAUAAUAAUUAUUAUUAAAAUUGAAAUACCUUCCAAAUGUCUAAUGAUUUAUUUUGCAAAGUGCUAUCAUUUCAUCCAUCAUCCAUGUCUUCAUUCAUUCAACAAAUGUUUAUUGAGCGCCAACUGUGUGCCAGGAAUAUUUUCAUGGAGCUCAAAAUCACCUAGGGGAAACCGACAGUGUACAAAUAAUUGAACAAUUAUCUAUCAGUUGUUGCAAGACCAUGAAGGAAAAGUAAGUAUAGGAUGUUGUGAGAGUCUGGAAAGUUAAGGAAAGCAUUCCUGAGGAAGUAACAUUUAUGGUGACUGAAGGAUCUAUUUUCUCGUUUGAUUAGUAAGAUGGGUGUUUUAUAUCAGGUUAGACAGCAAGUACUAGCGAUGGGCAUGGGAUCCAUGUAUUUUGACUUCUUUUUUUCCCUACUACUCCAUGCUGCCUUAAAAAAUGUAUGUAUAGUAAGUAUAGUUUUGGCACUAUAUGUCAAGGGAUAUAAAAAUGUUGGUCCUCUUUGACUUCAUAUUUUCAUCUCAGUGAAUCUAUUCAAGAUUUCAUUUAAAAUUAUUUCAUUUAAAUGCGGAUAAUUCAUGCACAAAGAUGUUCCUCACGUAGUAGUUGGUAUAGUGAAAAACAGAAAAACCUAAGGGUCUCACUUUAAGGGCAUGAUUAGGUAAAUGUGCUAUUUCCAUGUGAUGGAAUAUUCUUUCAUUAAAAUAUCUGUGGUAUGUUGAUAUUAUAUAAUGUUAAGUGAAAAAUCAGCACACAAGAUUAUAUAAAGUGUGACUGCAAUUAUCUUGAGUAUAUAUAAUCAGAGAAACGACUAGAAGUAAACAUAUUGGAGAUUGUGAACUAAUUAUCUCUAGGUGGGUACGUUUAUGUGUGACUUGUGUGUACUUCUUGGUGUUCUUUUUUUUUUCUCCCAAAGUUCUUACAGUGUGAAAGUAUUUUAUAUUCAGGAAAAAUAUUUAAAUGAUUGUGCAUAAACGUUCAUUACUUAUUCAUCUUAUUAUACAUGUAAUCAAGUUUUACUGUUGAAAACACUUCAAAAUGAAAGAAACCAAAUUGAAAAAAAUUAAGAUCUCAAAUAAACUCAAUACUUAGAGAUAAUUUCUAUAAGGUUUUUGGUGUCUAUUUUUCCACCCUCUUUCACAGGUAUGCUUAUUCUCUUUUACAAAAUGGAAUCAUACUUAUAUUUAACCCAGUUUUCCCCUUAACAAUAAAUUAUAAACGUCUUCCCAUGUCA